rnacentral:rRNA from 1 species
UGAGUGGAUCCUGAGUACGACGGAGCACGUGAAAUUCCGUCGGAAUCUAGGAGGACCAUCUCCUAAGGCUAAAUACUCUCUAGUGACCGAUAGUGAACCAGUACCGUGAGGGAAAGGUGAAAAGUACCCCGGAAGGGGAGUGAAAGAGAACUUGAAACCGUGUGCUUACAAGUAGUCAGAGCCCGUUUAUGGGUGAUGGCGUGCCUUUUGUAGAAUGAACCGGCGAGUUACGAUCUGAUGCAAGGUUAAGCAGCGAAUGUGGAGCCGUAGCGAAAGCGAGUCUGAAUAGGGCGUUGAGUAUUUGGUCGUAGACCCGAAACCAGGUGAUCUACCCUUGGUCAGGUUGAAGUUCAGGUAACACUGAAUGGAGGACCGAACCGACUUACGUUGAAAAGUGAGCGGAUGAACUGAGGGUAGCGGAGAAAUUCCAAUCGAACUUGGAGAUAGCUGGUUCUCUCCGAAAUAGCUUUAGGGCUAGCCUCAAGUGAUGAUUAUUGGAGGUAGAGCACUGUUUGGACGAGGGGCCCCUCUCGGGUUACCGAAUUCAGACAAACUCCGAAUGCCAAUCAAUUUAACUUGGGAGUCAGAACAUGGGUGAUAAGGUCCGUGUUCGAAAGGGAAACAGCCCAGACCACCAGCUAAGGUCCCAAAAUAUAUGUUAAGUGGAAAAGGAUGUGGCGUUGCCCAGACAACUAGGAUGUUGGCUUAGAAGCAGCCAUCAUUUAAAGAGUGCGUAAUAGCUCACUAGUCGAGUGACACUGCGCCGAAAAUGUACCGGGGCUAAACAUAUUACCGAAGCUGUGGAUUGUCCUUCGGACAAUGGUAGGAGAGCGUUCUAAGGGCGUUGAAGCAUGAUCGCAAGGACAUGUGGAGCGCUUAGAAGUGAGAAUGCCGGUGUGAGUAGCGAAAGACGGGUGAGAAUCCCGUCCACCGAUUGACUAAGGUUUCCAGAGGAAGGCUCGUCCGCUCUGGGUUAGUCGGGUCCUAAGCUGAGGCCGACAGGCGUAGGCGAUGGAUAACAGGUUGAUAUUCCUGUACCACCUAGUAUCGUUUUAAUCGAUGGGGGGACGCAGUAGGAUAGGCGAAGCGUGCUGUUGGAGUGCACGUCCAAGCAGUAAGGCUGAGUGUUAGGCAAAUCCGGCACUCGUUAGGCUGAGCUGUGAUGGGGAGAGGAAAUUGUUUCCUUGAGUCGUUGAUUUCACACUGCCGAGAAAAGCCUCUAGAUAGAUAACAGGUGCCCGUACCGCAAACCGACACAGGUAGUCAAGAUGAGAAUUCUAAGGUGAGCGAGCGAACUCUCGUUAAGGAACUCGGCAAAAUGACCCCGUAACUUCGGGAGAAGGGGUGCUCUUUAGGGUUCACGCCCAGAAGAGCCGCAGUGAAUAGGCCCAAGCGACUGUUUAUCAAAAACACAGGUCUCUGCUAAACCGUAAGGUGAUGUAUAGGGGCUGACGCCUGCCCGGUGCUGGAAGGUUAAGAGGAGUGGUUAGCUUCUGCGAAGCCACGAAUCGAAGCCCCAGUAAACGGCGGCCGUAACUAUAACGGUCCUAAGGUAGCGAAAUUCCUUGUCGGGUAAGUUCCGACCCGCACGAAAGGCGUAACGAUUUGGGCACUGUCUCAACGAGAGACUCGGUGAAAUCAUAGUACCUGUGAAGAUGCAGGUUACCCGCGACAGGACGGAAAGACCCCGUGGAGCUUUACUGUAGCCUGAUAUUGAAAUUCGGCACAGCUUGUACAGGAUAGGUAGGAGCCAUUGAAACGUGAGCGCUAGCUUACGUGGAGGCGUUGGUGGGAUACUACCCUAGCUGUGUUGGCUUUCUAACCCGCACCACUUAUCGUGGUGGGAGACAGUGUCAGGCGGGCAGUUUGACUGGGGCGGUCGCCUCCUAAAAGGUAACGGAGGCGCUCAAAGGUUCCCUCAGAAUGGUUGGAAAUCAUUCACAGAGUGUAAAGGCAUAAGGGAGCUUGACUGCGAGACCUACAAGUCGAGCAGGGUCGAAAGACGGACUUAGUGAUCCGGUGGUUCCGCAUGGAAGGGCCAUCGCUCAACGGAUAAAAGCUACCCCGGGGAUAACAGGCUUAUCUCCCCCAAGAGUUCACAUCGACGGGGAGGUUUGGCACCUCGAUGUCGGCUCAUCGCAUCCUGGGGCUGUAGUCGGUCCCAAGGGUUGGGCUGUUCGCCCAUUAAAGCGGUACGCGAGCUGGGUUCAGAACGUCGUGAGACAGUUCGGUCCCUAUCCGUCGUGGGCGUAGGAAAUUUGAGAGGAGCUGUCCUUAGUACGAGAGGACCGGGAUGGACAUACCUCUGGUGUACCAGUUGUCGUGCCAACGGCAUAGCUGGGUAGCUAUGUAUGGACGGGAUAAGUGCUGAAAGCAUCUAAGCAUGAAGCCCCCCUCAAGAUGAGAUUUCCCAACUUCGGUUAUAAGAUCCCUCGAAGAUGACGAGGUUAAUAGGUUCGAGGUGGAAGCGUGGUGACACGUGGAGCUGACGAAUACUAAUCGAUCGAAGACUUAAUCAA